rnacentral:rRNA from 2 species
UACAUAGGGGGCAAGCGUUAUCCGGAUUUAUUGGGUUUAAAGGGUGCGCAGGUGGCUUUGUAAGUCAGUGGUGAAAGUCUGCCGCUUAACGGUAGGACUGCCAUUGAUACUGCAGAGCUUGAGUUUGGAUGAGGUAGGCGGAAUGUGUAGUGUAGCGGUGAAAUGCAUAGAUAUUACACAGAACACCGAUUGCGAAGGCAGCUUACUAAUCCACAACUGACACUGAGGCACGAAAGCGUGGGGAUCAAAC